AAAAGCGGUCGAUAGCAAUUGCAAGCAGUGUAAACGCAGCCGAAUUGAAUGCAGCCGUUGCCGCUGGCAUCAAUAUCUUGCAACCAGCUUUCCCAAAGGGGUAAGAAUAUGAUUCCUCGACGCCAAUUGUGAAUGGUAUCCCCAGAAGCACAGUCGCAACGUCGCAUAGCGCCAAGUUCAGCACAAAAAGGUUGGCUGUUGUUCGAAGAUGCUCGAAGCGAAGGAGUAUUGUUAUCAAUACAGCGUUACUGGUCACGCUCGCAAAACAAAUUAGAACGUAGAAUGUAAUCUUGACAAUGUGGAAGGUCAUCCUUGAUCUUUGGUGCUUUACCUCGAAGGGGAUUUCAAAGACUCUCAUCGGCAAAGAAAUGAAAGGAAGACUAUUGAGAGAAAUCUUAGGUAAAAACUCCAGAAAUCAACUUCAAACUUGUGGUCACCAAGUUAAUAGAAAAUUUGAAAGAGCCAAAUGAUAUUUGUAAAGGACAAGCAAUGAAAAACCAGAAGGUGAGAAACAAAACACUGUGUUUAGCAUGUACCAGCUGAGAUAUUGUAAAUAAAUUUAUCACUUAGGAAUGCUCAUCUGCACAAUUCAGAGGGAACUAAAACUACAAGUUAGUUAAAACUAUAUUGAUUGGCAAAUGAUUGUAGUGUUUCCGGAGCUAGAAUGGACAAUUAAAAACAAGGACUUGGUUAAGCAAUGCCAUAAAACUGUCAAACUACCACACAUAUUGACAUUGUGAUGUUGCACAAGGCUACUCAAUAUUAACAAAUACUGCCACAAUGUGGUUGACAUCAUUACCUCCUUAGCACUAUUUGUACCUGUUUAGGACACUGGUACAAAAAUUAUCUUGUGCUAUUCAUUUUGUUAACAUUUUUCUGGUUAGUUAUUUUC